AAUUGGAUGGUAUCACACUGCAGAUCCGAGCAAUGAUUGAACCUGGUGAUAUUCUGAACAAAAAGAGCUCUCUGCCAUGCUUGUAGCUGUUCCUAUCCCUUCAUACUGACUAAACAGUUUUCAGAGUGACACACAGACAGGAGACAAUCCUGGAAGCUUAUUAUAGAGAGUACAGCCAUUUAUUUGGUGCAUCUAGAUGGGCAGAGCCAAAUUUCUACUUGCAAAAUUGGCUCAGACACCAGAAAAUGGAUCUGGGUCCAGCCAAGUGAAUAUCCCCAAGGUCUAGAGAUUUGGUUACUUGGGACCCAGCAGUGAUAGUGCCUUGCUGAGAAUAACAUUCUGAAUGCCAGGUCUCCACAAGCCCAGCAGGGCCCUUGAUAUAUUCUUUUCACUUUUGACAUUGUCAGUGGCUGUGAAGAUUCUAGAACUGGGAACUUAGCUGGCAGAUGUGAGAGGCAGAAAAAGGCCGCGCAGCUUUGUUGCUCUGUACUGUGAAAGAAACACUGAGAGGAGGACUUCUUCCAGAAUUGAAACUUCAGCUGUGAUUAUGUGGCAAACAGAAGGUGACAUAUACGUCUAAUUACCAGUCUUCCAUUCAUCCUAGCACUGGGCGGUGGCAGCAGCAGCAGAAACAGAGGAGUCAUGACAACUGAUUGCUCCUGAAGGAAUUUGGGUUUGUCAGAGGACAGAAGAUAUCCCCAUAAAACACAAGUGCUUGAAAAAGCAAUUCGACCACCAAUACUGAAUGAGAUGGACAAUAACUGCAAAUGGUUGGAAACCAGCUUUCCAUAGGGCGGAAGAUAUUCAUCUGCAUGCAUGACCAUUGUGGGGCAGAUCCUCACCUGGUGUAAAUCAACAUUGCUCCACUGAGUUAGGUUGAUUUAUGUCAGCUGAGGGUCUUGCCAAUGUAUUGGGCCUACAAAUAAAUAAAUGCCCACACAAAUAGCUAAUUAAGGUCACAGUGAGCUUUUUACAUGAAAGGUGGGAUUUUCAAGAACACCUAAAUAAUUUAGGAGCACAAAUCCCACUGAUUUUCAAUGGGGGUUGUGUUUCUAAGGCGCUUAGACAAUUAUGAAUACCCCAUUCUAAGUCAAUUUGCAUGUACAGUAUAUCACAAUAACUGUGC